AUGAACGCUGGCGGCGUGCCUCAUACAUGCAAGUCGCGCGAACAGACGAGGAGCUUGCUCCUCCGACGUUAGCGGCGGACGGGUGAGUAACACGUGGAUAACCUACCUAUAAGACUGGGAUAACUUCGGGAAACCGGAGCUAAUACCGGAUAAUAUAUUGAACCGCAUGGUUCAAUAGUGAAAGACGGUUUUGCUGUCACUUAUAGAUGGAUCCGCGCCGCAUUAGCUAGUUGGUAAGGUAACGGCUUACCAAGGCAACGAUGCGUAGCCGACCUGAGAGGGUGAUCGGCCACACUGGAACUGAGACACGGUCCAGACUCCUACGGGAGGCAGCAGUAGGGAAUCUUCCGCAAUGGGCGAAAGCCUGACGGAGCAACGCCGCGUGAGUGAUGAAGGUCUUCGGAUCGUAAAACUCUGUUAUUAGGGAAGAACAAAUGUGUAAGUAACUAUGCACGUCUUGACGGUACCUAAUCAGAAAGCCACGGCUAACUACGUG
rnacentral:rRNA from 1 species